CACAAUGCUGGGCAUAGAGUCAUAUUCGAUGGGUACUUGCUGAUGAGUUAAAGAGAAACCACAGUGUGAACCAUGGCCAAGAGGCUUUGUGACCUCAUUGUCCUGUGAGUUACCUUGUCCAGACAACAUACUGAAAAAUCACUGCUUUUCCUGAGGUCUGACUGGUAGCGCCUGGUUCAAUCUCAGAAUAGUGAUCCUCCACGGGACCAACAGCCCUCCCCUAAACAAGGGCUUUAGAAAUUUGUGGCUCUUUGUCUGGCAUUUUAUGACAGAAGCCAGGGAAGCUGAAUGGCUUACAAAGCCCUGGAGAGAACAGUCACAACUUGUCCUGCAUCCUAUACUCCUUUGGAGUGUUCCUUCAGACACCUGGGCUGGUUUCCUGGUCAGGAGACUGCAACUGGUCUACAUAAGCUGUCGUUGGUGGUGAUCUGCACGUUUGAGGAAUGAGCAAGAGUGAGGGAGGCAGCGGCUCAGCCCUCCUGUACACAGCUGGCCCCAUCAAGGGAACAGAUUAGCCAGUUAAACUGAUAUAGCCAUCGCCAGCCCAACCAAUGCCACACUGUGAAGGGAAAGCGCAGGAGAAGUUCGGGAAACCAAGCCUGGGAGGAGGCAGGUGGCUGACAAGGGCCUCAGCUCUGACCCUGUGAAUCCCUGCUAAUCAUAUGUGCUUCCCCAGAGGGAGGGCCCAGAGCUACACCGCCUUGUUGGGUACUCAGUGAUGCCAAGAUUUAGGGACACCCAUGCCUGCCUCUCCGCCCAUGUUUACAUCUUGGAAGACUGUGCGAAUGUUGAGGAAGACACCGCCAGCCUGGAAGCUGCAGCGAGCCACACGGACGUGAGGGAAGAGCGGGGAAGGCAGAAGAAGGCUAGAGUGAACCACCGUCACCAGGACUUGCCAGCUCUGCCGUGGAAGACAAAAGGGGAAGGGGCUGAUGGCGCCAGUGAGGCCCUGGGAGGCAGAGAGCAUUUAUUCUCAGGACAAGGGAGACGGUUUGAUUGAAAAGCAUGUUAGGAAAAAACAAGGUUUUUUUUUUAACUGUUCCUUUGGCUUUUUAAAAAUGGAAUGACAAAGAACAGUUGUACAGAGAAAUGUCAAUGGCUUUGCACGGAGAAUUCUUGAUGAGGUAGGCUCCGUGGAGAAGCCUGGCAAAUGAGCUGUCAGCCCUGCUACAGCAGCCCUUCUACCGGCCGUGACUUUUUUUUAACAGCUUUACUGAGAUGAAAUUACAUUUCAUGAAAGACACCCAUGUCACCUGUAGGGUUCAAUGAUUUCGGUCAUUAACAACCUCUUACUGCCAACUCCAAAGGAUGCUCUUCAGUGGUCUUCCUCGAUCUACUGGCCUUACCGGAUUGCUCCAUUUGGUCGGUUCUCUCCUUUUCUUGGCUCUUGUUCUUUUUCCUCGGCCCAUUUUUGAGGUUCUCCUGAGUUCUACUUUCUAGAUGGUUCCACCAUCUAGUUUUCUUCCCCCAGGGUGACUUUAGUUAUUACCUUUAUGUCAGUGUCUCCCAAAUCUCUAUCUGCAGACUCACUGAUAAGGGCCUGGUGAAAAGCUAAGAAGCAACAAUCCCUAUAUAUUCCUAGGUAGCCAAGUAUGUGGAUAGGAACACAGGCUGCAGCUGGAAGUCUUAGGAGAGGUGUGGUCUUGGCCCAGUUACUUUUCUGGAGAUGUUUCUUCAACUGUCAAACGGGAAUAAUAGUGCCUAGUGACAUGGUUGUUGUGAGGACUAAAAUAAGGGGCUUGAUAUUUAUAAGAUGUUUUUAAAUUAAAAAAAAUGUUUAUUUUUCAGAGAGAG